rnacentral:lncRNA from 1 species
UAUAGGUUUCCUGCCUUUUUCCCUAGUUUCUUUGAGGUCUUUGGUUAACCUCACACAGCCUCUGAGAAUUUGGUGGCCUGGUUAUUUUGGCAGAACACAGAGUCCCUGGGAGGACAGAAAUAGGCAUGUUAGAAAGGCAGCCCUCUGAGGGCAGAGCCAAACAGGUCCAUGAGCUGAAGCUGAUGGCCUCUUCACUUGCAGAAGGCCUCUUUACUUGCAGAAGGCCUGAGGCCUAGUAAUGGCCCUGGGCCUAGCUUCUUAGUAGUUGAGAGGGGACAGCAUCAGCUUUCCCCCAGGUCCCACUCGCUCUCAGCAAUUCUGUGGGGACAUGUUCCCUGCUGGGUUCUCUGGCUCACCAGCUGUGCUGUUUGGGAUUCUGAAGAAAAUACCUAGAAAAGUGUGUGGUCCAGCCAUUGCCCCGAAGUAGCUUGUGGUCUUGACAGGGAGGGACGGUAUCCUUCCAGACUCUGAGAGUACAGGCUGUUGGAGCCACAGCCCCCGCCCUGAAGGAUUUUACAGCUACCAGGAAAGAUGAGAUGAGACAUCAGUAAAAGCAGAAAGCAGGUCUCAGGAUGGACAGCAUAUACAGAGAAGGCUCAUCAGGAGGCUGGCAUGGCCAUUCCUCGCAGGCAGGGGAGCAGAAGUGGAAAAUGAUAUCAGAGCUCAGGUGCAUGAGGCAGUGAGGGGCAGAAACACUGGGGUCAGGGAGAGGAGUGAGGGUGGUAGGUAGUUGAGGCCAGAUUGGAGAGGACAUUGACUCACAGGCUGAGGAGGCCUUUUUCCUUAGAGAUCAAUGGUUCUCAGACUUUGCCCUCAAGGAACACUGCCAUUUCCACUGGACCAGUGAUGGUACUGUGAAAGUUAUACCAUACAGGACUUUUCCUGAUUUGCAGGAAAAAUUUAUCAACAGCAGUUUCCCAGUCUUAAGUCUUUCUUGCAUACUUCUUUCUAAACCUUUGGUAGCUGCUACCCCUUGUCUUCUUAAGAAUGUGAGCAGAUUCCAAGGUGACUGGACAGUAGCAAGUGGAUCUGAACAAAGAGCAGCAGCCACUGACCCACCACAGCUUUUGUUUUUGUCUUGGGACAUAUCAGGGAUUUUGUUGAAUAUUUAAAAUACUUUCUGCUAGUUGGUAAUUGUUCCUUGUUUGUUAGAAUUAGAUAUGUCAGUAUAUUAAGAAUGUCCCAUAAAAACUGUAUGACUUACUACUGUGCCACCUGAACAAGUCUUAAGAAACACCGCUGGCAACAGGGAGCCAUUUAUAGUUUUUGAGGAAGGCCUAUAACUUGGUGGUGUAUGCAGGACAGAGGGAGGGAGGAGAAGAUGGAAGCCAUUAGGGGCUGAAUCCUCUGGCUCCAGAUGGAUUUGGCUGGGGAUGGGCUCCUGGAGAUUGUGAAAAUGGGUCCAGUGCUGUGGGCAAGGCUGGCAGAGGGCAGGGCUCUUCCUCCCAGGAUAGCAGUGGGAGCCCUGCUGCCUCCAGAGCCUGAGCAUGUCUGCUGGGCUGGAGGGCUGGAAACCCCAGCCCUAGGUGCACUUUCUGCUCUCUUUCUGAAAGGGAGGGUCAGCCUGAUUGCAUUUCACGCUGUCUUUCACUAAGGGUUUUUGUUUGAGUUUACAUAAAAGUGGGCUGAAGAGGCUGGGAAACCCAGAGAACACCAUUGAAUGUAGCAGAUGGAUUUGGUUAGCUGUUGCUGAGCUAAAGGAGGCUUGACUGAUAACCUUGUGAAAAGUCCAUGUAGGAUGAAAGUGCUAUAUAAGCCAAGGAUUAUCAGCAACUCUUCUUCAGAUGAGAAAACUAAAGCCUACAGAGCUUAAAACACUUGCCCAAGGACGCAUGGCUAGUAAAUGGUGACCACAGGCCAGUCUGCUCCCAACCACAUGCCAUAUCCCAAGUGCCUCAAUGGGAGUGCAGAGGAUGGACCUAAUCUAGCCUGACUAGGGUGGGCUGCAGUGCAGGGCAGCAAGAUAUGAAGGCCUCACCAAGUUCAGAAGGGGCAGCAAAAUCAACCAGAUGAAGAAGUGCAUUCCAGGCAGAAGGCCAGCAUGGACAAAGAACAGGAUUACCCAGGAACAUGACACACUGAGCUGCUUUCUCUGGAAAAUGCAAGGUCUAGACUCUGAUGCAUGAGUCCCCUUCUAGCCGGACACUCCUCCAUUCUGAACCACUCUUUGCUCAGGGAAGCAGGGGUCUUUGUACUGCAAUCUGGAUCCAGUCUGCUCAUUGGCCUUUUGUGGUAUUUAGCACGGUGCAGGUCCCAGAACCCCCUAUCGCUUCUUUAAUCAGUGGAGGCGGAGGUGAGCAUACCUAGUUAUGAGGCCUAAUUGAUGUUGGGGAGGUUCCUAGAGUGCUCGGUGAAGGGUGACCCAUAAAUCUCAGACACUGAAGAAUUCUGCCACAUCCAUCACAGUGUUUAAUGUCCUGAUUGAUCUCCAGGGUAGUCAAUUUCAUUUGCUUGUUUCAGGAUGAAGAGGCAGCCUGCUUCCCUAUGUUGCAGCCUGGGGCUCUGCAUAAAAUUAUGCCAGCCCUGUCUCCUGGUAGCUUGCAAUAAAUUUUAGCAGCAAAUGUUUCAUCAUUUUCCUUGGAUAAUUAACUAUUCACCAGGAGAUAAUACCAAACUUUUCAGCAGUGGAGUCAAAGAUAUUCAGAAUAGUGAUGAAUUCCUCACUUAGUUAAUGUGAGGGAAAUACAAGUUUUUGGCAAGUACUCCAGUAGUACUCCAAUAGUACUGACCAAAGGGAGAGGAAGGAAGAUAAGGUGCCUCCUGUCUGGGGGAUAACAGUGCUCUCUUACCUCACUCAGAGUGAAUACAGGCAUGGAACAAAUGAGUAUGUGCGAGCAGGGAUGCACUCAGGAGAGGAGCAGGCAGUGGCUGGACUGGCUGUUAUGACUAGGGGCGGGGCUCACUGCCACCCUCCCACACCAGACUAUCAGCAGCAGCAAGAGCGUCUCCUGGGCAGCUGACCCCAAAAGUGCUGAGCAUGUGCUGGCAGUAAAACACCCCAGGCUUCUCAUUAAUAAGGAUGCUUUCUGUUUGUGUCUCCCCUGAAACAUUCUCAAAGGGUUUUCCCUUCUGUUACAUCAUUAGCUAUCCCAGCAGCCUUCAGGGUGGGAGGCACAAGAUCAUUCCUGUUGUACAUGGGGAGGAAGCAGGUCUAAGGAUUUGCUUGGAGCCUCAUAGCAAACCAGAAACAGGGCUGGGCUGAGAAUCCAGUCUCUGCCACAUCCCGUGCAUAGGUACAGUGGCACCUGAGGUAGGAGGCAUGGGAGAGAGUGGGAUGAACAGACCUCUCUCCAGCCCUGAGAUGUCCAUGGUUUGGCUGUUUCAGCCCCCAGAGUUGUUGGGGGUCCUUGUGAAGCAACUCCACACAGGUGUUGAGUGGGGCACAGGGUACUGUCAGCUUGUUAGUAAGAGGGAUUCCUUGGGCCCAGAUAAUUUGUCAGCAGCUCCAAGAGUGGGACCCCAACUCUGUCUUCUCUCUUUAGAGGUAACUGAAUAGCACCAGGGAGGAGCGUGGCGGCAGCACCAAGGCGGAAGCCAUGCUCUUUUGACUCUGGCUUCCGUCAAGAGCUGUCUUGGAAGGAGAAAGGAGCUCCUGAGUUGAAUUUCAGGUGGACACCCACCAUGCUAAAUAGAAUUCCAAGCCACUAGCCUCUAGCCACACAGGUUCCAUCCCAACACUCCUGUCUGUGGGACUUGAUCUGAAAAGCCACACUUUGGUUGGGAACCUUGCCCAGGGCUGGCUGGAGAGGGGCCUGUUGUGCCACUCAGGGAAGGCCUUAUGGUUCCCUCAUCCUGGGUGGGCUUCAGGCUGGGGCUGCAGACUCUGGCCCAGCUCCCUGGUGGGCCAGUCACCAGCACUGCUGGCUCUGAGUCCUGAUUUCUUACUUUGGCUUUCCUGGUGGCACCUGGUUUGAUUCUGGACAGCUCAUUUCACAUCUAGCAUGGCAUAUAAUCCAGCCAGACCUGGGUUUGAAUCCUGCCACUACAGCUCACUAGUUAGCUGUGUGCCCUUGGGCAAGCCCCUGAAUGAGUCAUUCCAUGGCUGCUGUUUUCUCCUCUGUAAAGCAGGGAAGAUAGCGCCCACUUUCCAGGGCUGUGCUAAGGAGGGAAGCCUGUGAAGAGCACCUGUCACAACAGGAAAUGCAGACGUGGG